AAUAAUAUCUAUAAUAGAAAAUAGCUGGCUUUUAAAUUUAAUUGUGUUCAGUUUUUACUUUUGUCUUUGAUUUUGGCACUGAUGGUUUUAUCUUCAUUUUCGUAUUUUCUUCUGAUGUUAAAAUAGAAGUCAAUACUAUUAUCCUAGGUUUUACCUAAAAUUUGGUUAGUUAAGACACACUGAAUAAUAAGUUACAUUAAAUUCAUCAUUUCUUUGUUUAAUUUAUUCUUUGUUAUCUUUUCAAAAGAAAACAGUAAAACACUUUAAUGGGUUCUUAAUAUCCUUAAUUACGGAGGUUAGACUAUUGGACCUAUAGUGUAACUUUAUUUUCAUUUUUAAUAAGCUAGUGAAUAACCAAUCCAAAUUACCCAUAAUCCUUCAGAUUCUAAAAAAGCUAACUUAUUG
rnacentral:lncRNA from 1 species